GCAAGUCGAGCGGCAGCGACAACAUUGAACCUUCGGGGGAUUUGUUGGGCGGCGAGCGGCGGACGGGUGAGUAAUGCCUGGGAAAUUGCCCUGAUGUGGGGGAUAACCAUUGGAAACGAUGGCUAAUACCGCAUGAUAGCUUCGGCUCAAAGAGGGGGACCUUCGGGCCUCUCGCGUCAGGAUAUGCCCAGGUGGGAUUAGCUAGUUGGUGAGGUAAGGGCUCACCAAGGCGACGAUCCCUAGCUGGUCUGAGAGGAUGAUCAGCCACACUGGAACUGAGACACGGUCCAGACUCCUACGGGAGGCAGCAGUGGGGAAUAUUGCACAAUGGGCGCAAGCCUGAUGCAGCCAUGCCGCGUGUAUGAAGAAGGCCUUCGGGUUGUAAAGUACUUUCAGCAGUGAGGAAGGARGUAUCGUUAAUAGCGGUAUYYUUUGACGUUAGCUGCAGAAGAAGCACCGGCUAACUCCGUGCCAGCAGCCGCGGUAAUACGGAGGGUGCGAGCGUUAAUCGGAAUUACUGGGCGUAAAGCGCAUGCAGGUGGUUUGUUAAGUCAGAUGUGAAAGCCCGGGGCUCAACCUCGGAAUUGCAUUUGAAACUGGCAGGCUAGAGUACUGUAGAGGGGGGUAGAAUUUCAGGUGUAGCGGUGAAAUGCGUAGAGAUCUGAAGGAAUACCGGUGGCGAAGGCGGCCCCCUGGACAGAUACUGACACUCAGAUGCGAAAGCGUGGGGAGCAAACAGGAUUAGAUACCCUGGUAGUCCACGCCGUAAACGAUGUCUACUUGGAGGUUGUGGCCUUGAGCCGUGGCUUUCGGAGCUAACGCGUUAAGUAGACCGCCUGGGGAGUACGGUCGCAAGAUUAAAACUCAAAUGAAUUGACGGGGGCCCGCACAAGCGGUGGAGCAUGUGGUUUAAUUCGAUGCAACGCGAAGAACCUUACCUACUCUUGACAUCCAGAGAACUUAGCAGAGAUGCUUUGGUGCCUUCGGGAACUCUGAGACAGGUGCUGCAUGGCUGUCGUCAGCUCGUGUUGUGAAAUGUUGGGUUAAGUCCCGCAACGAGCGCAACCCUUAUCCUUGUUUGCC
rnacentral:rRNA from 1 species